rnacentral:rRNA from 1 species
AGGGUAUGGCUGUUCGCCAUUUAAAGUGGUACGCGAGCUGGGUUUAGAACGUCGUGAGACAGUUCGGUCCCUAUCUGCCGUGGGCGUUGGAAACUUGAGAAGAGCUGCUCCUAGUACGAGAGGACCGGAGUGGACGAACCUCUGGUGUUUGGGUUGUCACGCCAGUGGCAUUGCCCAGUAGCUACGUUCGGAAAGGAUAACCGCUGAAAGCAUCUAAGCGGGAAGCCUCCUUCAAGAUAAGGUUUCCCUGGGAAUUUAAUUCCCCUGAAGGGCCGUUCAAGACUAGGACGUUGAUAGGUUGGGUGUGGAAGCGCUGUGAGGCGUUGAGCUAACCAAUACUAAUUGCCCGUGAGGCUUGACCAUAUAAUGCAAG